rnacentral:lncRNA from 1 species
UUGAGAGGCUCAGGGACUACCAGGUUAAACAACAAAGCUUGCUCCCGGCCCAGUAAAAUCGUCACAUCGGGAGCCUAACGCAUUGUUCCGCUACCCUGGUGAUCACUUCAGCUGACCUGUCCUAAGACUACAAUGAAACUACAAAACAGUGUGCCUACUCAAAGUCUCUCAGGUCUGGUAUGUUUUGUGCAGGAUAAUGGUGCUAGCUACACAAAAGUUCAGCAGCCUGUAGGAGAAGUUGACUGUGACCACUCAGAGACCAAAUCCAUCACAAAAGGAAAUAUUCUUUAGAACCAUGCAACUGGCCAAUGGGAUCCACUGGUCUUUAGCACACCCAGCAAGCCAGUAAAGAUCUGAUGCUCCCUUGCUUCUGCGAGCUGCUUGAUGACUCUCUUGGUCAGUGUUCACACCUUCAAUUCCACUGAAGGACUGCCCCUCCUCCAAUAAAACACUGC